AAAAAGAUAAACCCUAGAUUUCCGUGUCCAACUUUAACUGUCCGUCUUAUAUAAAACUUUUUUAUAAUUCGUAUUUUCAUUGUUGUUAGAUGAUAAAACAUAAUUAAUAUUUUAAGCGUGACUUGUCUUUUUAAUUUUUUUUUAUAAUUUUUUUAAAUAAGACGGACGGUCAAAUAUUGGACAUAGAAAUCAGGGUUUAUCUUUUU
rfam:Oryza nivara chromosome 10, whole genome shotgun sequence.